UACGUAGGUGGCAAGCGUUAUCCGGAAUUAUUGGGCGUAAAGAGCGCGCAGGUGGUUAAUUAAGUCUGAUGUGAAAGCCCACGGCUUAACCGGAGUAGUGCAUUGGAAACUGGGAGACUUGAGUGCAGAAGAGGAGAGUGGAACUCCAUGUGUAGCGGUGAAAUGCGUAGAUAUAUGGAAGAACACCAGUGGCGAAAGCGGCUCUCUGGUCUGUAACUGACGCUGAGGUUCGAAAGCGUGGGUAGCAAACAGG
rnacentral:rRNA from 1 species